UUCCGGUUGAUCCUGCCGGACCCCACUGCUAUCGAGAUGGGACUAAGGUAUGCUAGUCGAACGACCAGAACUAUGUCUGGAAGUGGCACACUGCUCAGUAACACGUAGCUAACCUACCCUUAGGACGUGGAUACCCCCGAGAAAUUGGGGUUAAUCCGCGAUAGGUGUAAUGUCCUGGAAUGGUAUUACGCCUAAAGGUGUAUCAUACAUGUUUGAUAUACGCCUAAGGAUGGGGCUGCGGCCGAUCAGGCUGUUGGUGAGGUAAUGGCUCACCAAACCUUUGACCGGUACGGGCCAUGAGAGUGGUAGCCCGGAGAUGGACACUGAGACAAGGGUCCAGGCCCUAAGGGGCGCAGCAACCGCGAAACCUCCACAAUGCACUCACGUGCGAUGGGGCUAUCUCGAGUGCCACCUGAUGAAGGUGGCUUUUCCUAGGUCUUCAAAGCCUUGGGAAUAAGAGGGGGGCAAGACUGGUGUCAGCCGCCGCGGUAACACCAGCCCCUCGAGUGGUGGGGAUGAUUAUUUGGCCUAAAGCGUCCGUAGCCGGCCGAGCAAGUCUUCCGUUAAAUCCAGCGUCUCAAGCGUUAGACUGCGGGAGAUACUACACGGCUAGAGAGUGGGAGAGGUCAGCGGUAUUCUGGGGGUAGGGGCGAAAUCCUUUGAUCCCCGGAGGACCACCAGUGGCGAAGGCUGCUGACUAGAACACGUCUGACGGUCAGGGACGAAAGCUGGGGUAGCGAACCGGAUUAGAUACCCGGGUAGUCCCAGCCGUAAACGAUGCAUGC
rnacentral:rRNA from 1 species